rnacentral:rRNA from 1 species
GACGAACGCUGGCGGCGUGCUUAACACAUGCAAGUCGAACGAUGAACUUGGAGCUUGCUCUGGGGGAUUAGUGGCGAACGGGUGAGUAACACGUGAGUAACCUGCCCUGGACUCUGGGAUAACUUCGAGAAAUCGGAGCUAAUACCGGAUAGGACCUUGCACCGCAUGGUGUGGGGUGGAAAGUUUUUCGGUUUGGGAUGGACUCGCGGCCUAUCAGCUUGUUGGUGAGGUAAUGGCUCACCAAGGCGUCGACGGGUAGCCGGCCUGAGAGGGUGACCGGCCACACUGGGACUGAGACACGGCCCAGACUCCUACGGGAGGCAGCAGUGGGGAAUAUUGCUCAAUGGGCGGAAGCCUGAUCCAGCAACGCCGCGUGAGGGAUGACGGCCUCCGGGUUGUAGACCUCUUUCAGUGCCGACGAAGCGAGAGUGACGGUAGGUACAGAAGAAGGACCGGCCAACUACGUGCCAGCAGCCGCAGUAAUAC